rnacentral:rRNA from 1 species
GAUGAACGCUGGCGGCGUGCCUAAUACAUGCAAGUCGAGCGAACAGACGAGGAGCUUGCUCCUCUGACGUUAGCGGCGGACGGGUGAGUAACACGUGGAUAACCUACCUAUAAGACUGGGAUAACUUCGGGAAACCGGAGCUAAUACCGGAUAAUAUAUUGAACCGCAUGGUUCAAUAGUGAAAGACGGUUUUGCUGUCACUUAUAGAUGGAUCCGCGCCGCAUUAGCUAGUUGGUAAGGUAACGGCUUACCAAGGCAACGAUGCGUAGCCGACCUGCGAGGGUGGUCGGCCACACGAGAACUGAGACACGGUCCAGACGACUACGGGAGGCAGCAGUAGGGAAUCUUCCGCAAUGGGCGAAAGCUUGACGGAGCAACGCCGCGUGAGUGAUGAAGGUCUUCUGAUCGUAAAACUCUGUUAUGAGGGAAGAACAAAUGUGUAAGUAACUAUGCACGUCUUGACGGUACCUGAUCAGAAAGCCACGGCUAACUACGUG